rnacentral:rRNA from 1 species
CAAGUCGAACGAUGACCAGGAGCUUGCUCCUGAGAUUAGUGGCGAACGGGUGAGUAACACGUGAGUAACCUGCCCUUGACUCUGGGAUAAGCGUUGGAAACGACGUCUAAUACCGGAUAUGACCCCUACCGGCAUCGGUUGGGGGUGGAAAGAUUUUUUGGUCAAGGAUGGACUCGCGGCCUAUCAGGUAGUUGGUGAGGUAAUGGCUCACCAAGCCGACGACGGGUAGCCGGCCUGAGAGGGUGACCGGCCACACUGGGACUGAGACACGGCCCAGACUCCUACGGGAGGCAGCAGUGGGGAAUAUUGCACAAUGGGCGAAAGCCUGAUGCAGCAACGCCGCGUGAGGGACGACGGCCUUCGGGUUGUAAACCUCUUUUAGUUGGGAAGAAGGGAGCUUGCUCUUGACGGUACCAGCAGAAAAAGCACCGGCUAACUACGUGCCAGCAGCCGCGGU